rnacentral:rRNA from 1 species
GACGAACGCUGGCGGCGUGCUUAACACAUGCAAGUCGAGCGGUAAGGCCCUUUCGGGGGUACACGAGCGGCGAACGGGUGAGUAACACGUGGGUGACCUGCCCUCAGCUCUGGGAUAAGCCUGGGAAACCGGGUCUAAUACUGGAUAUGACUCCAUGACGCAUGUUGUGGGGUGGAAAGCCUUGUGCGGCUGAGGAUGGGCCCGCGGCCUAUCAGCUUGUUGGUGGGGUGAUGGCCUACCAAGGCGACGACGGGUAGCCGGCCUGGGAGGGCGACCGGCCACACUGGGACUGGGACACGGCCCAGACUCCUACGGGAGGCAGCAGUGGGGAAUCUUGCGCAAUGGGCGAAAGCCUGACGCAGCGACGCCGCGUGAGGGAUGACGGCCUGUGU